rnacentral:rRNA from 1 species
GAUGAGCGCUGGCGGCGUGCCUAAUACAUGCAAGUUGAGCGAAUGGAUUAAGAGCUUGCUCUUAUGAAGUUAGCGGCGGACGGGUGAGUAACACGUGGGUAACCUGCCCAUAAGACUGGGAUAACUCCGGGAAACCGGGGCUAAUACCGGAUAACAUUUUGAACCGCAUGGUUCGAAAUUGAAAGGCGGCUUCGGCUGUCACUUAUGGAUGGACCCGCGUCGCAUUAGCUAGUUGGUGAGGUAACGGCUCACCAAGGCAACGAUGCGUAGCCGACCUGAGAGGGUGAUCGGCCACACUGGGACUGAGACACGGCCCAGACUCCUAUGGGAGGCAGCAGUAGGGAAUCUUCCGCAAUGGACGAAAGUCUGACGGAGCAACGCCGCGUGAGUGAUGAAGGCUUUCGGGUCGUAAAACUCUGUUGUUAGGGAAGAACAAGUGCUAGUUGAAUAAGCUGGCACCUUGACGGUACCUAACCAGAAAGCCACGGCUAACUACGUGCCAGCCGCCGCUGUAA